AGAGUUUGAUCCUGGCUCAGAAUGAACGCUGGCGGCGUGCCUAACACAUGCAAGUCGGAUGUGCCGCAAGGUGCAUGGCAGACGGGUGAGUAACGCGUAGGGAAUCUACCUCUUUGUGGGGAAUAACGCUCCGAAAGGAGUGGUAAUACCGCAUGAGACCGAGUGCUGGGAUGCAUUCGGUGAAACCUGGGGACCGCAAGGCCUGGGGCAAGGAGAGGAUCCUGCGUCUGAUUAGCUAGUUGGCGGGGUAAUGGCCCACCAAGGCGACGAUCAGUAGCCGGCCUGAGAGGGUGAUCGGCCACACUGGAACUGAGACACGGUCCAGACUCCUACGGGAGGCAGCAGUGGGGAAUUUUGCGCAAUGGACGAAAGUCU
rnacentral:rRNA from 1 species